CGCGGCGUGGAGCAGUUGGUAGCUCGUCGGGCUCAUAACCCGAAGGUCGUAGGUUCAAGUCCUGCCGCCGCCA
rnacentral:tRNA from 1 species